GAUGAAGAACGUAGCGAAAUGCGAUAAGUAAUGCGAAUUGCAGAAUUCAGUGAGUCAUCGAAUCUUUGAACGCACAUUGCGCCCUGUGGUAUUCCGCAGGGCAUGCCUGUUCGAGCGUCAUUUCAACCCUCAAGCUCUGCUUGGUGUUGGGCCCUGCCCGCUGCGGCCGGCCCUAAAGACAGUGGCGGUGCCGCCUGGCCCUGAACGUAGUACAUCUCUCGCUCCAGUGCCCGGUGGUAGCCUGCCAGAACCCCAACUCUCGUGGUUGACCUCGGAUCAGGUAGGGAUACCCGCUGAACUUAAGCAUAUCAAUAAGCGGAGGA
rnacentral:misc_RNA from 1 species